ACCUACGGGGCGCAGCAGUGAGGAAUAUUGGUCAAUGGUCGGGAGACUGAACCAGCCAAGCCGCGUGAGGGAGGAAGGUACAGAGUAUCGUAAACCUCUUUUGUCAGGGAACAAAGGCGGGGACGUGUCCCCGGAUGAGUGUACCUGAAGAAAAAGCAUCGGCUAACUCCGUGCCAGCAGCCGCGGUAAUACGGAGGAUGCGAGCGUUAUCCGGAUUUAUUGGGUUUAAAGGGUGCGUAGGCGGGAUGCCAAGUCAGCGGUAAAAAUGCGGUGCUCAACGCCGUCGAGCCGUUGAAACU
rnacentral:rRNA from 1 species